CCUGUCACAAACAAAACCACAGCUCAGCUCAGUCUCAAUGCUGAAGCUCUACUCUGGUGAUCUUGCAGCUCUUGAAACACAGUAUCAGGCUGUUGCAUAUCUCCCAUGGACAAACAAGGAGGACAGCCAGGCAGAGUCCUUUUGGGUUGAAGUGCUCGAUUACAAAGACAGCAGUGGAGACCACACUAAAAAAAACUUCACACAUGCUUUCCCUCUUUUCUCUGUCAUUGCUUGCGAUGCCUUUGAUCAAUGCUGACGUAGAGUGUUCUCACAGAUGAGCCUAGUCAAGUCCAAACUGAGGAACAGAAUGGGACAAGAUACUCUCAGCAGCAUAUUCCACAUAAAAUAGGGACUGAGAAGACAAGGCAUAUGCUGCAAGGACUUUGCCCCAAGCCAAGAGACGAUCCAGCGCUUCAAUAGUCGCAUGUACUCUGUGAGUGGAGCAUCAGAGAGCAGGGAGACGGAUGCAGAUGAAGACAGUGAAGAUGGAUUUUUAAAUAAGCACAAGCUCUGGCCUCUACACAUGAAGGAAACAGCAGUGGAGG